UACGGAGGGGGCUAGCGUUGUUCGGAAUUACUGGGCGUAAAGCGCACGUAGGCGGCUUUGUAAGUUAGAGGUGAGAGCCCAGGGCUUAACCCUGGAAUUGCCUUUAAGACUGCAUCGCUAGAAUCGUGGAGAGGUGAGUGGAAUUCCGAGUGUAGAGGUGAAAUUCGUAGAUAUUCGGAAGAACACCAGUGGCGAAGGCGACUCACUGGACACGUAUUGACGCUGAGGUGCGAAAGCGUGGGGAGCAAACAGG
rnacentral:rRNA from 1 species